UGUUAAUCAUUUGAGCAAGGCCAUCGGAGACGCCCUCCCCUCUGCCAAUCUCCGUGAUGCUCUGACCUCAACUUCUCCCUCAGUUCCUACAAUCUUAUUUAGUUAACGGGUAAUCACGCUUUCUUUGAUCAGCGGAAGAGGUCUGCAAUCGCCCACCCCCAUUGGUUCCAUACCGUUAAAUCCGGACAAUGUCCAUCUCGGCGCGCCGGCCUUUUUCAUUCCCCGAAGCAUAUACUACGUACGUCCUCCAGACCGCACAUCUUGGCACCAACACCAACAGCUCGCUCUGCCUCGAUCUAUCCAUAGUGUCCAUACCUACUACGCAUGUAGUGAGCAAUGUCAAAGCGUCGAGGAUCUGGUCGUUCCUUUUGCUAUCAUAUUAUGCAGUGCGGUGCAGUGCACCAUACUGAUUGACAACGAUGGCCGUUAUAGAUAGAUUCGAAGAUUGAACCAUUGACGGUUGAAUCAUGCUUUUUUUUUUGUCUAUCAAGUCGAUUCGAGCGGGCGUCUGUCUGGCACCACCACCCUACGUACGUAGCACCAAAACCACCGAGCAAUGCAACCUUCAUGGCCCCUAGCGUACCGCAGAGAUGAGGGCGUUGUUGCAAAAGCGCCUAACCUUCUUUUUGAGUCUGUGAGAAUUUUAUGGUUCCAAACGUGCUCCUUACUUUAUUCGUCCUAUCAGGAGCGGCGAUGACUAUGUCUCUACUUUCUUCUGCUGUGGACAGUCGAACGGGUAGCUACCGAAAGAUUCGGAGAAAAAAAAAAUAGAAAAAGAAAGAAAAAGAAAAAGAGCUUUGUCCGGGUUUCGACAUAGCGUGGGCACGUCAACACAAUAUCAGCUGGGCUGUUUCUUUAUUUCACCUGAUCUCUUUGUUGAGCCACAAUGUUUAACCCAACUGGUAGCUUUUGAAAGGGUUGCCUUUUCCAUUCCACUUGGUCAGGUCAACCUGCAGACGGAUCUGGUUUUCCCUCCCUGUAUAAGAGGAGUCAUGCUCAAAAUACUCAAAAAUAGAGCGAUUGAUCCAUGAGUCGCCGAUGCUGCCGCCGUUCUUGCCGUUGUUUGCAAGUCAACCGGUUGAUAUCGAAAUAUUGAACGUCGCCGAAGCAUAGACCAGACAGACGUCUUUGACGUGCUACAAUCUGGUUGGAUGAUGGCUUGCAGCUGCAGGGAAAAUUUCCAAAUCAUCCCAUAGGAUCAAAAUCCCGGUUUGAUCAUGCCUCCAAUCUCAGAAGCGUUCCAAGUGGCGGUGAAUAUGUUUUGACAAAUGAUAUUGAUACUGGCGGCUAGCAGCGAUAUGCCAGAGCAGGAAGUCUUAGUUGCUUGUCUGCGGCUCCAAAUGAGACAAGCUAGACGGUAGUCCAGUGUGUUUCCGUCUUCCGCUUGCUUGAUUGUAUCAGGAUCCGGCUGAAUAUCCAAUCAACAGAGCAUCAGAUAAGAAAGACUCUGGAGUACUAACACAAGUCGCACGGAUGGACAGCCCCAAAAGACCGGUAAUGUACCCGCACUUCCUGCAGGGUUACGGCAUGGACGUGUAACCAGACAAGGCAGUUUUCUGGAUUCUCCAACGUCAAUGGGUGCCAAUGAAGCCAGGGUGAUCAAAAUAAUUGUUCAAUUCUUCAGAAACCGACCAAUCCAGUCUCGAAAAGGCCAAAGCGGCGACCUUUAAACGGCGACCUCUGCGAGUCAGUCAUACGAUUGAUAUUCCGGGAGGCAAACAAAGACCUUCGACAUACGUGCGUAACGCAAAAACUCGGAACUAUCUUCCAAACUCAAAACUAAAGGAGGGGAGUGAAACGUUUGCCUAAUUUUGUACCACCAAACAGGAAAACUUUAAGAUUAUGGCAAUGUACACGCCACCUGUCUGUGUCACAGUCAACUCUCCGUGCCCGUACGAAAACAAUGAUAGGUGAAGAAAGACAACGAGGCAAAUAACGCCCAUCAUCCAUGUGUUUCUCAAUUUUAAGGGUUUCAGCGCGCAUAGACCAAGCAAUCAAGCUGACAGAACGGAACCAAGGAACAAAAGCAACCCACCCUUUCCACGGCGUCUACACUUCCCGGUGUCAAGUUGAACAAGACCAGGACAUGAACCCAAAGCUGGCAAAAUCUCCGUUUCGUCCAACCAAACCUCAAAUCCUCUUUAUACAUUUUGGGUCUGGUUCCGGGUUGUUUCAACGGAAACUUUCCUAGAGUAAAGGCUAAUGCUAGUACGUACCGGGUUCCUGAAAAGGGCUAGUUAAUAUAAGCCUUCCUCUCACUCUCUGUCUCUCUCUCUCUCUCUCACUCUCUCUCCCUCAGGACUGAUUACUAUCCAUGCACACCCGUCACCUAGACAGUGCAUACAUACAUGAUCUAAAUUUAUAGAUAGACGCCUUGAUAGUUCGUAACUGCGUAUAGAUGGAGAAAACAAAUCCCCGAAACAGGAAGAAUGCCCGGCCAAUGUGCUUUCAAAAUGAUCUUUCACUCAGGGCCAAUCGAGGGGGGUUGGUUGUCAGAUCUGGGAUUCUAGAAUAUGUUAGUCACAAGGCCAUAGGCCAAUUUCCGAUUUCUGAUUGAGAGUCUGGAUUUUUCUUUUCAGUUUAUACAGGAAUAUCCAUGUAUGUCCCGACAUAACUUUUUGGAGGAUCCGUGGAUAAGAAAAAGCCAAAAUCGAACCCGAAUGAAUUACCCAGUUAGGUAAUUACGGCGGAGAAACACGGUUGGGGGGUACAUACACACAGACAUACAGACAUACAUACAUACAACAUGUACAUGUAUAGGCAUGGGUAUGAGCAUGGGCAUGACGAGGCUGGGGUUUGUUAUGUCA
rnacentral:lncRNA from 1 species